UGAGCUCAGGCAAGACUACCCGCUGAACUUAAGCAUAUCAAUAAGCGGA
rnacentral:rRNA from 1 species